GACGAACGCUGGCGGCGUGCUUAACACAUGCAAGUCGAACGGAAAGGCCUGCUUUCCCUUGUGGAUUGCGGGUACUCGAGUGGCGAACGGGUGAGUAACACGUGAGUGAUCUGCCCCCAACUUGGGUAUAAGCCUGGGAAACUGGGUCUAAUUCCCGAUAGGACUGCAGGGUGGUGCCUGUGGUGGAACACGAUUUUCUAGUGGUUGGGGAUGAGCUCGCGGCCUAUCAGCUUGUUGGUGGGGUAAUGACCUACCAAGGCGGCGACGGGUAGCCGGCCUGAGAGGGUGGACGGCCACAUUGGGACUGAGAUACGGCCCAGAAUCCGACGGGAGGCAGCAGUGGGGAAUAGUGCACAAUGGGCGGAAGCCUGAUGCAGCGACGCCGCGUGGGGGAUGACGGCCUUCGGGUGGUAAACUCCUUUCGACCGCGAGGAAGCCACCUGGUUGGAAGGGUGGUGACGGUAGUGGUAGAAGAAGCACCGGCUAACUACGUG
rnacentral:rRNA from 1 species